GCCCCAUUGGGUAAAUUUAAUUUGAGGGCCACACCCCUCGCGGGCCUGGUUUGCAGGAGAUUGUAGUGGUGGGACCACUGCCUUGGUGGCCUUGGCUGGUUGGGUGAGUGUCGCCAGGAGGACGCAGUUUUGCGCCAAAGUUCAGAAAGGGCCCGCUCCCAGAGCCGGCGUAAGUGGCCGGGAAUCGCCCGAGUCUAGGAGCUUUCAGGACAGCCCUCCUCUUUGUUCGUGAGACCACGUCCCCUCCCUGGACUCCUCCCACUCCUCCGUUGGUGGCUGCCUUUGGCCUCUGCCCCCAGGCUGCUUUCGGGACACCUGGUCGGAGCCACCUCAGAGUAGAGACUGUGUGACCAACAGCAUUUUGACCCUAUGUUGGAGCAUCUCAGGGACCACCUCAAAUGGGGCGAGAUCAGUCACACAGCACGCCUUUCUCAGCCGAGACACCUUUGCCCAGCGCUAAGAGUCAGCGCCCUCCAAGGCCAGUUCUGUACUACUUCAAACCACGCGCGCCCGUUGGUACAGCCCCUUGGGGCGGGGCACACCCAGGCCCCCUGACAUUUUCAGGGCCUGCCUGAGUGGUGACUCCCGGCUCCAAUGAACGGCCUGAUUCAUGCUGGCUCCGCCUCCCGCAAGCUGGGCGGAACCGCACAGAGUGUCAUACCUGGGUCUGAAUUCCAGGGUGCCACUUCCUCUGAAGUAGAAACUCCAAGGGGUUCCUCUCUAAACCCCCAGUGGGCCUGUGCAGUUUGAGACUUUAAAGAAGGAGCAUGCUAAUUACCACCAAGGACCAAUCAGGAUCCUGGGAUCUGACUAAUCAGAUAUACUGAGCUCAAACGCCGUGUCCUCCAAGAAGCACUGCUGGAUCUACACAGCUAGAGAGGUGUCCUUUUCUGCUGAACCCUAGGACACUCUUGUUAGUGCAGACCCCAUCCCAAGCCACAACUGACAUCCGACGCCUGGACAUUGGCACUGAGACAUUAAUUGGCCUGUCUCUCGUUGGAGCCACGAGAUGUGAAAAAUAAAACCCGUUAGCCACCGUUCUCUCUGCCACAAGAAGGAACUCUGUCUGCCACUAGAGAGAGAAAACAGUUUACACAGACAGAGGGACAGAGAGACAGAGGGACAGAGAGACAGAGACAAAGACCCAUUUGUUCUGGAAAUUUUCUGCCCUUGUCAGGAGUGGCUGGUUGGUUGACCUCACUGUCCACUACGUAACUUCCAAUAAAAUCUUCUUCCAGUAAAUCUUUCUCUAUUAAGGUG